CCUACGGGUGGCUGCAGUGGGGAAUAUUGGACAAUGGGGGCAACCCUGAUCCUGCCAUGCCGCGUGUGUGAAGAAGGCCCUCGGGUUGUAAAGCACUUUCAGUGAGGAAGAACGCCUGGUGGUUAAUACCCAUCAGGAAAGACAUCACUCACAGAAGAAGCACCGGCUAACUCCGUGCCAGCAGCCGCGGUAAUACGGAGGGUGCGAGCGUUAAUCGGAAUUACUGGGCGUAAAGCGCGCGUAGGUGGCUUGAUAAGCCGGUUGUGAAAGCCCCGGGCUCAACCUGGGAACGGCAUCCGGAACUGUCAAGCUAGAGUGCAGGAGAGGAAGGUAGAAUUCCCGGUGUAGCGGUGAAAUGCGUAGAGAUCGGGAGGAAUACCAGUGGCGAAGGCGGCCUUCUGGACUGACACUGACACUGAGGUGCGAAAGCGUGGGUAGCAAACAGGAUUAGAUACCCGUGUAGUC
rnacentral:rRNA from 1 species